UAUAAACCGGCUCUCUUCUAGCUUACGACACAAACUAUGAGUGAGAAAAGGACAAAUGAUUCGCUCUUUGCUUCAUUUUUUCCGAGGUUGUCACAACAUGAAAUGUCAUUUGGACCUAUUGGACUCAUUUUAACUCGGCCAAAUACAUAGUAACAUACAUAAGAAGAUUUUACUUAUAUUUACCGAACUAUUUGACACGGUCGCGUCAACUGUGUUUACGAGUGUCUUGUGUUCAGAUUGUUUUAAGUGAUAAUUUAACAAUAUUUUUCCAAAUAAAUGGAAAGAAACUUUUAUUUAUAUCAAAUAAUUGAGUGUCUCGACUGUGUGACAUUAUGUCUUGUAUGGUAUGGGGCUGCAGCUCACAUUCAGGAAGAAAAGAAAAUAGCCAACAACUUCUGUCGUUUCAUCGAUAUUAAAUCCAAAAGUGUCGACUGGAUUUACAUGAAAAGUCAGUUCAAGAAGACGAGAUGAAAAAUUUAAAAGAAAAGCUGAACAAGUCCCGCCUCAAGAUCAAACGACUUAAUGAAAAAAAAAAACAAUGUGACAGGGUGUCACAAAGACAGUUUCUAAGCAAAUUGACACUGUUUAGAAAUUAAUAAAUUUGUAUUUAUUGUAAAUAUAAUGUACAUAAUUAAUAACGUGUGAAAUAAAUACUUGCUAAUGAAAAUGAACAGAUUUACGAUCUAAUUUAUAUUUCAUUUUACCUCCUGUUCUUAUUUACUCCUACUCCAACACUCCAGGUUGAUACGAACUGCGCCCAAUAAAGAAUGUAAUGAAUGUUAUAGAUUUGUGUAAGCGACUUAGAUAAAUCUUGACUAAACCUUCCUUUACAAAUACAAAUAUACUUUAUUGCACACAACAUACAAUACUUACAAGUUUUACACGAAAGAUACAGUACACCACCUACCUACCUUUUACUUUCCCUUUCUGUUCUCUUAUGAAUACUUGUAUGCCGUAU